UGGGGAAUCUUCCGCAAUGGACGAAAGUCUGACGGAGCAACGCCGCGUGAGUGAUGACGGCCUUCAGGUUGUAAAGCUCUGUUAAUCGGGACGAAUGGUUCUUGUGCGAAUAGUGCGAGGAUUUGACGGUACCGGAAUAGAAAGCCACGGCUAACUACGUGCCAGCAGCCGCGGUAAUACGUAGGUGGCAAGCGUUGUCCGGAAUUAUUGGGCGUAAAGCGCGCGCAGGCGGAUUGGUCAGUCUGUCUUAAAAGUUCGGGGCUUAACCCCGUGAUGGGAUGGAAACUGCCAAUCUAGAGUAUCGGAGAGGAAAGUGGAAUUCCUAGUGUAGCGGUGAAAUGCGUAGAUAUUAGGAAGAACACCAGUGGCGAAGGCGACUUUCUGGACGAAAACUGACGCUGAGGCGCGAAAGCCAGGGGAGCGAACGGGAUUAGAUACCCCGGUAGUCCUGGCCGUAAACGAUGGGUACUAGGUGUAGGAGGUAUCGACCCCUUCUGUGCCGGAGUUAACGCAAUAAGUACCCCGCCUGGGGAGUACGACCGCAAGGUUG
rnacentral:rRNA from 1 species